rnacentral:sRNA from 1 species
AUAAACACACACAUACACAAACACACACACACACACUCACACUCACACUCACACUUCCUCCUCUAUAGUGUUGCUCGUAUGUUCAUGAGUUUAGGGCUUACCUACUAAGAACUGGACAAACUAUUAGGAAUCUCAUGCCUGGAGAAAACGGAUUCUCCAUUCUCAGCAGCCAUUGGUUGACUAUGGUCUUCAUCUAGGGGUGGGACUUGUGAACAGCCCCAUCUGUGCUGCUGUGGUGUCCACUGGCACUGUCAUCAUGCAGGUUGUCUGGACAAGCAUAAUUUUUGGACGUCAUGGUUGGAACUGCCUGCCGCGAUCAGAAGAAACUAUCUUGUAGCCAGUGUGCUGGCCCCAUGGCUUCUAUGCCCUUCCUGGAUCCUCUUCUAUGACAUUUCUUGAGCUUAGGAAUAGGGGUUGCAUUGUUGAUGAAACACCAUAGAAGUGUUUUGUGUCAUCUCAAAAGACUCAUGUAGGACAGACCUGAGGUAAAACCACCUGCUUCCUGAUGUCUGUUUCUGUAUUUCUUUCACAUUUUCUUUUGUUUAAAGCAAAACAAAAUGUUUUUGAAAGACAACUGUAGAGAUUACUGAGCAUAUUUUGUUUAUGAGGUGGCUUUUAUUUCAUCAUAACACAAAUCACAAAACUGUAUCAACGAUUGAAAAGCAUUGAAGGCUGAGUAAGUGAAACAUAUCCUCUAGUUGAGAAAGGUGAUGGGCAAGUUACUGGUUUAAACUUCAGAUUGACCUCCAUUUGAAAUACUUAGAUGCCAGCGCUCCCCCGACAGAUGGCUACAGGGAACCAUGUGAUUGUGAAGCCAGGCAUGGAAUCUUCAAUUGAUUGCUCUGUGACUGUAGUGAGCUCUUUAAGAAGAAUCUUUAUCUCCAGUCUUGACAAUGACACUGAAGAAAUGAAUCCCUGAAUUUUAGUUGCAGACCAUAUGAGUGCCUGUUGACAUUGUGACGUAACCCUCCUCCUGAUUACCAGCAACCUUUGUGAGGUAGCAGGUAGACCCUGAAUGUGAUGGAGAAUCAUGUGUGCUCGACUAAACUAUCCUGGUCUGUCCCUCAGAGAAGGGAUCUGAAGAAUGAGCCAACCACCAUACAAAGUAUACUGAUCUCUGUGAUUCUCUCCUACCUACAUCUGUAAGAGGAAGGACUUUGAACACAACACCAUGCUUAGAAUGGCAUAAUCAUAAUGGCAGCAUUGGCCUAAUCAUUUUAGCAUGCCUUUGGUACCAUUUCAUGCACUGAAAAUUCAUUAAAUGCUUGUGCUCUGAUCUCCUAUGAAGCUGAGUGUUACAUAAAAAUACAAGCUUGUCAUUCCUAUUAGCAAUGUUAUUAGUAAUUAAAAGGAGGAGAAAGUGAAAGAUUCGAAUGUACUAUUUACAUUGCUGGGUGGAAAAGGUAUCACUUACAUUUAUUUACAAGGCCAAGUCGGGUCUCAGUAGCAACAGCAUCCAAAGUUAAGAUGUUGUGAUCAAGAAAAAUAACAUUCCACUAGAAAAUUCUAUAUAAAAAAAGCACAUUUAAGCUAAGCAAUCUCCCCACAUACAACUUAUUUUUAAAAAUUGUAUAUUUACUGUAAUUGAUCACAACUUUUAAGUCAGAAAAUAAAAAGCAGAAGAGGAUAUGAUUGUUCAGGGUAGACUUUUAAAAUUUGUAAUAUGUUCUUAGGACUUGGGUUUUAUUCCAAAAUAUUCAUUUGUACAAAAAAAAAUCAAGCUCUAGGAAACAAAGAGCAAGAGGUGAGUUCAAACAAGAACAAUGUGGGAAGGUUCGGUGAUAGAUUAGCUAAUAAUGGGGCCCUAUGGGUAGGCAUUGUGACACAAUCCAAUAUUGCCACGCCCCAAGUUCAAGCAAAUCUUGGAUAGCCCUGGAACCUGGAGAUAGCCUUCAGUUGAUGAAACUCCUUGGGAACUCCAAGGAUGUGCUGUUCCCUAAGCAGUGCCUGCCGUUACACUCUGGUUUGCAUGUUUCUAAUUGGAGAGGACUGGCCAGACAAUGGCAAAUGUUAUCACUGUUUUUCCUGCUUUCCUGCGCAGAUCCUCAGACCCAUAGACGCUUCAGAGCAGAGUGUGGCCCACAACCAAGGUUUGGGCCCUGCUGCGGCUCAUUCUGCAUGCAAGUGGAAGACUGAAGGAGAGCCGCUCUUCAGGCUCCAUUAUGAAGUCUCAACACCGGUGAGCAACGUACCAUGCAACUGUGCAGAAUUAUGCUGGGAUCGCGCAAGGCACAAUCGAUAGUUUCCAGAAUGCUUUGCUGUUUAAAGUGCUUCAUGACUACUGUUAUGUCAAGCUUGACUGCAUGGAAACAAGCUAAACCCAGCAGAAGGGUCUUAAAGUAGGUCAGAUUUUUAUCACUGACAAUAGAUGAGAAAAAAAAACCUUCACUUUUCUAUUCUGUCGUUCUGCCUUCCCAAGACAGUAAGUUCUAUUGAAGUCUUAAUCAUGUCUAGUACCUCAUAGGGAACGAGGAAGGCAAACGGGUCACCACGCAAUGAUGACGUCUCCUGUCAGUACCAUAAUGACGAGGGGUUGAUCCACACCAUUGGGAAGAUAUUGGCAAAGGUUUCAGAAGAAUGUUCACAUGCAUGGAAUAGUUUCCCAAUUCGGAGAUCCCCUGUGGACACAGACAUAGAGUCCCUUCCCCUUUUUAACUUUCUCAAUAAAUUUUGAAAUGAUGCUUUAUUUAGCGUUCAUUUCACAUUUAUUUAUUUACCAUCUUUUUUAAAGUUUCUCUGGCAUUUGGGGCUAAAGACUGGCACAAUCCCUGGCCUGCCCAGCUCCUAGCCUGUAUCCAGCCUUCACAAAUGUGCCCCACAAGAACAAGUGAGGCUCAUCAAGCAGACGUAUGAAAUGCUCGAGGUUUUCUAUAAACUUUUUUUUUCCUGAUUAGAUAUAUUCUUUGAAAAUGUCACGAUUUAUAGAAUGCAUUCGCGUCAUAUCCCCACCUCGUUCAUUUUCCUCAAAUACAAGUGUGCUCAUAACACCGACGCUAUAAAAAAUGUUUCUCUAUUACACUGAGUUCUUCCGUAAGUUGAGGCUAUUUGUUCAUUCGAGUAAACGAAAAAUUUUGAAACAGUCUCACUUAAAAAGCAAUGAACAGAAUCUCCUUCGGUGAGGGACAUGGCUGUCUGGUGUCUUCACCUCAGCCUACGUUCCUGAGGUCAUGGGCUUCCUCCGUGCGCUGGUGUUUUAUAUUCAUGCUCUCCGCUGAGGAGCUUCUUUCUAAUGGCUUCGCGGUGCUUAUUUUGCAGUUCUGUCGGGGACAACUAAAUGACAUCUAGACUGGAGUUACAAGGAACCUUGCUUUCAGGAAAGCAAGUAGAAGCUCGCUGGAAAAUAACAGGCUCUACAAACUACCCGGCAACGGAAAACGUCGACUUGGUAGAAAUGCGAAUUGCAAUGGACGUGAUGAGAAGAUAUCUUCAUAACCACACGGCCUGAUGAGGCUCGAUGAAAAUGUAAUGGACAAUUUGGUCCCGCAGAGCAAGCUCCAUACGGACCGGACCACAGAGACGCGGUUUCUCUGCUACCUUCCUCAUCAACGGCUGUAUCUCACCAACAAGAGGUUGUAACCCUGGCUUUACCCUAAAUCCUUCCAUCAGAUCCACAAGGAGGUAGCCAGAAAGCCGCUUAAGUGGAGGGAGCGCUGCGUGUCAGCAGAUCAGAAGUGCUAAUCCGUAGAACCAGAGCUGUUCCAGGCACUACAUCUUUAUUGGCGUGCCAGGCCUGGCUGCAUGGAAAUGAGCUGAACCCAAGAGAAGGGUCCCGAAGUAGGUCAGACAUUUAUCAUCGACAGUAGAUGGGAAAGUCACUUUUUUAUUUGUCCAUUUAUUUCCCAGAGAGUAAGUUCCAUUGAACAUGAAGCCGGCCGUGAUUAUAAUAGCCAUUUUAUCUUCCAACUGAGGAGGAGGGCUUGGACACAGUGCAUUUACAGGCUGCUCUCAAGGCUCCCAGGGAACUUUCACAAACCACAUCCUCCAGAACGUGUCCCUGGUCGAGUUUAACAGUGAUUGGUGUCACCUUCUGGAACCCAAAAGUGAUGCUGUAACCAUUUAUGACAUUUAAGAGCCUACAUUCUUUCUUUGGGGUGUUGUGGGGUGGCGGUUGUAUGUUUACAGUAAAGAAACUACGGAAUUAGUUCCAAGUACUUUUGAAGUACAUCAAAGCCUAAGUUCUUUCAGGUUAGCAACCGUGUGUAUGUGUGAUCUGGCUUUCGAAGACAUAGCUCACGGGUGCGUACUUUGCGGAUAUAGCACACAGGCGCUUACUGUACAUCCAGCGGCUAGAGGUCUAUGACAGAAGUGAAUUUGAACCCCAUCUCCCACUGGCUUUGCAGCUCCGUGCAGCUCAUUGCACAGCCUGUGCUGUGGAUUUGCCAUCUCUGCAGCAAAGGGGACAAUGUGGCAAUUGUAACACUCGAACUUGGACCUUAAGAGGAUAAAAUAACAUUAUUGGCCUAGAGGACGUGGUUAACAAACACUGGAUAUCAUUGCUCCGUUAAAUUCUCUGGAGUCUGGAGGAAAUGAGCAUGAGGCUAACCGUCCCUUUAUGAGAAAUGCUUAUGGUCAUUGAGGCAGGACAUAGAAAUGCAGCAGGGAGAAUUAUAGAACGGCUCGUGUUCUGCUGGGUAGAAGUUAAGCUUAAUCAUGUGCCCAGUAAUGCAGGCAGCUGAAGUGCAGAACUAAUUACGUAGGACAGUCAUCGAGGGCUGCAGGAGUGGGCACAGCUCUGACUUCAUCUCGGAGGACUGUUCCUCAGAGAACGGAGAUUCAGCAGACCCCUCUCAGACAGGAAAGGGACAGAGCACAUCCGCGGUCUUGUCCUGUGUAUAUGACUGAGUGCGGUGGUGUACUGAAUUGUUGGAAGAUGGUUACCUUCGUGCACAGUGCUCAAGUAAUGAUGAUGGCAGACAACUUGGAAUAUAUAUAUGAAAAGAAACAAGUUGGGGAGUGUUUGCUCAUAAAGUUUACAGCUCACAAUAUCGGCAACAAGACAUCAAAGGCACAAUGGGAAGAUACUUUAGAAUCAGGACGUUGUUCCCCCACUAGUACUGACUACCUUUUUGUUUCUCUAGUGCAAGAAUUGUUUUCUGAAAUGUUUCUAAUCAUUACAGGAGGCCGCUUCUUAAUCCAGGGCACUUUAAAUAUCUCAGAACAUUAGUGGAAGACUCGAUUUGCCUGUUCAUAGACAGUAUUCAUAUACUGAAUACUAAUGCGUACACACGCCAGGAGCAGCGCUGUUGACACAAAGGCACGCAUCGACAGUGAGGAUCUCGACGUCAAGAAGAUCGAAGUGACAUUUCUAGCUCGGCGAUGACAGGCACCAUUGUGUCUGGAACCCACAAGUUCAGAUCACUGUGAGCCUUGCCCAUCUGGUUUCUUGUUGGCAUUAAGAUACAGUGUGUGAAGGAUGUUCUUGGAGAAUAUUAAAAUCCUGGAAGAAACACCACCAAGCUUCUGGCUUAGUGUGGUAAAAGACAAGCUGCAACCUGAUCAAGUUAUUCUGGAAAACAUCUGCACAAGCCCUAACUAUCUGUCAGAUACACAGGGCUCGACACAGCUGACUAGGAACAAAUCCUGCUCCACACCUCUGGUGUUUUUAUGGUGCGCCACCUCCCACAGUGUGCCUUGUUCAGUCUGUCAUUGCUUUCUGCAUGAAAACUCAUUCUGUUUCUCUCCUGCUGCUGGUGAGUAAACUCCCUGAUGCGUUUGCAAUUUAUUGUGAUCUAUUUCCCCCAUUCCAAUAGAAAUAAAUCUCACAAACCUUCUCAUAGUGACCAAAGUGGAAGACUAUAAAGAUUAAGAAUGAUGUCAGUGAUAAGCACAGGGUGGUUACUAAUUUAGUGGUGUGUGACACUAAACCUCUUAUUGGUAACAUUUUAAUAUUGGAUAUAUUGAACAAAACUUGUAAUCAGAAGCCGUUGGCAAACAGCACCCGUGAGAUAGCGCAGUUAGUUGGUUUCCUUUUUCUUCUGUGACUUAUGCUUUUAUCAAAUCUACUAAAUAUGUUUUUUGUUUUGCCUUGCAAACUAUGUUCUCUAAGCUGUGGCACAAGGAAUCUGGUGUGGAAGUCACAAAAAGAUGCUUGAUCUGUGAUGGAGGAGUAUCUGGAAGAAUUAGGAUCCAAUCACAUAUUUCUUCAUUCCUUGUGAGUUUUGCUAUAGUUCUGCUAUAGCACCCUCUGUCCUUCAUCAGAUAGAAUGACCCACACAGCAUGAACAUAUGUGAGAGUCAAUAUUGAUCGCCACCUUGACAAAAAGCCUCCUAGAAUGCCAAUGAGAAAUUACUAUUUACAUUAAUGACUGGUCUACAUCAAUCGAGGUGGGAAGAGGUUGAGAGCACAAGCACUCACUCCUCUCUCCUUUCAGAAUGCAGAUGUAAUUAUUCCAGCUGUUUUAUGCUCUUCACGCCAUAACAUCUUUGUCAGGAAUGAGAAGAGCCUUAGAUUAUGAGUUAGAUAGACCCUUCCUUACUCCCCUAAACAGUUGGGGAGAAAAGGGUUUGCUCAACUUACACUUCCA